AUUGAACGCUGGCGGCAGGCCUAACACAUGCAAGUCGAGCGAGCGGCGGACGGGUGAGUAAGGUAUGGGCAUCGGCCCGGUGGAGGGGGAUAACUACUGGAAACUGUGGCUAAUACCGCAUACUAUCGGAUGAACCCAUAUGGGUUUAGCUAGUGGGUGGGGUAAAGGCUCACCUAGGCGACGAUCUCUAGCUGGUCUGAGAGGAUGAUCAGCCACACUGGGACUGAGACACGGCCCAGACUCCUACGGGAGGCAGCAGUGGGGAAUAUUGGACAAUGGGCGAAAGCCUGAGACAGCCAUGCCGCGUGUAUGAAGAAGGCCUUAGGGUUGUAAAGUACUUUCAGCGGGGAGGCGUUACCCGCAGAAGAAGCACCGGCUAACUCCGUGCCAGCAGCCGCGGUAAUAC
rnacentral:rRNA from 1 species